rnacentral:lncRNA from 1 species
CAUCCUGAACCUGCCUGCCAUCCUGAAAUUUCCAUCCUGAGAGCUUCCUGUUAUCCUGAAAAUGCCAUCCUGGAAAUUCCAUCCUGAGAGCUGACUGCCAUUCAGAAAAUUCCAUUCUGAAAAUUCCAUCCUGAACCCUGCCUGACAUCCUGAAAAUUCCAUCCUGAAAAUUCCAUCCUGAAACCUGACUGACAUCCUGAAGAUUCCAUCCUGGAAAUUCCAUCCUGAACCUGCUUGUGUCCUGAAAAUUCCAUCCUGAAAAUUCCAUCCUGAAACCUGACUGCCAUUCUGAAAAUUCCAUCCUGAGAUCUGCCUGUUAUCCUGAAAAAUCCAUCCUCAAAAUUCCAUCCUGAAAAUUUCAUCCUGAAAAUUCUAUCCAGGAAAUUCCAUCCUGAAAAUUCCAUCCUGAACCUGCUUGUGUCCUGAAAAUUCCAUCCUGAAAAUUCCAUCCUGAAAAUUCCAUCCUGAAAAUUCCAUCCUGAGAUCUGCCUGUUAUCCUGAAAAUUCCAUCCUCAAAAUUCCAUCCUGAAAAUUUCAUCCUGAAAAUUUCAUCCUGAAAAUUCCAUCCAGGAAAUUCCAUCCUGAAAAUUCCAUCCUGAACCUAUUUGUGUCCUGAAAAUUCCAUCCUGAAACCUGCCUUGUUAUCCUGAAAAUUCCAUCCUGAGACCUGCCCGCCAUCCUGAAAAUUCCAUUCUGAAAACUCCAUCCUGGAAAUUCCAUCCUGAAACCUGCCUGUUAUCCUGGAAACUCCGUCUUGAAACUCCAGCUGCCAUUCUGAAAAUUCCAUUCUGAAAAUUCUGUCCUGAAAAUUCCACCCUGAGACCUCCCUGCAGGGCUGCUGGGUCCUGCCCUGGAGCUGAUAAAUCCCAUUUAUCCCUCUGCUCCAGCUCCUGGAUGUGAAUCCUGCCUCCUGCUCUCCCCAGUUCAAUCCCUGUGCUGCUGCUGGGAGGCUCAUUAAGAAGAGGUUGGAAUAUAUUCCAAGAUUUUUAUGGGAGCAGCUCUCAGCAGUGUGGAGAGAAUUGCUGUGAUUCAGAUCCCACUGCGUUGAUGAAUCUACACCUGUAGGAUUUGUUUGUCUUUGCCAAAAGGAAUCUGUCUUAAUUUAU